rnacentral:rRNA from 1 species
GACGAACGCUGGCGGCGUGCUUAACACAUGCAAGUCGAACGAGUGGCGAACGGGUGAGUAACACGUGGGGAUCUGCCUGAUGGCGGGGGAUAACUACUGGAAACGGUAGCUAAUACCGCAUACCAUCAGAUGAACCCAUAUGGGAUUAGCUAAUAGGUAAGGUAACGGCUUACCUAGGCGACGAUCCCUAGCUGGUCUGAGAGGAUGAUCAGCCACACUGGGACUGAGACACGGCCCAGACUCCUACGGGAGGCAGCAGUGGGGAAUAUUGCACAAUGGGCGCAAGCCUGAUACAGCCAUGCCGCGUGUAUGAAGAAGGCCUUCGGGUUGUAAAGUACUUUCAGUCGGGAGGCGUUACCGACAGAAGAAGCACCGGCUAACUCCGUGCCAGCCGCCGCGGUAAUUC